rnacentral:rRNA from 1 species
GAUGAACGCUGGCGGCGUGCCUAAUACAUGCAAGUCGAGCGAACAGACGAGGAGCUUGCUCCUCUGACGUUAGCGGCGGACGGGUGAGUAACACGUGGAUAACCUACCUAUAAGACUGGGAUAACUUCGGGAAACCGGAGCUAAUACCGGAUAAUAUAUUGAACCGCAUGGUUCAAUAGUGAAAGACGGUUUUGCUGUCACUUAUAGAUGGAUCCGCGCCGCAUUAGCUAGUUGGUAAGGUAACGGCUUACCAAGGCAACGAUGCGUAGCCGACCUGAGAGGGUGAUCGGCCGCACUGGAGCUGAGACGCGGUCCAGACGCCUACGGGAGGCAGCAGUAGGGUAUCUUCCGCAAUGGGCGAAAGCCUGGCGGAGCAACGCCGCGUGAGUGAUGAAAGUCUUCGGAUCGUAAAACUCUGUUAUUAGGUGAGAACAAAUGUGUAAGUAACUAUGCACGUCUUGACGGUACCUAAUCAGAAAGCCACGGCUAACUACGUG